CACAGAAAGAGCUCUGCACUUUGCUGAUUUGUGAACAGCCAUCCUCAUUGCCACCUUGGAAACCGCUUGUGAGAGGCAGAGUGGAGGAACCCAGGGCUGUUCUGUCAAGGUUCAGCUGCAGGACCAGAGCCCCUUCCACCUAACCCCCACUCCUAUCCUGAUGCUUCCUGAGGCACAUCUGCUGUGGUUUCUCACCAGAGAACAGUCUGCAAAAUCACUGCACCUUGUCCAACUCCAUUUUCCAACUGAGAAGACUUGGCCCAGAGAAGUGCACAGACUUGAGGGAAGUAACACAGCAAUCGGACAGACAGACAUCCCCAGAUAUACCUGCUACGGUCCUGGGAGAAAAUAGAGACCCAUCCCCAAAUACCAUCAUCCUCAUCAUUCUCUGUAGCCCAAUCAAAUGAUGCUCCAGGCCUGAGAUUUUAUCCAAUGAACACUCUGUACAUCUUUAAAAGAGAUAUGUACUUGUCUUAUUCCUCCUUUCCUUUCUUUAAAAAAAAACACAGGCCCCAGAUCCAGUCAUUCUAAAUAGGAAGGAAAAACAUAACCCACUGAGGCAAUGGAUGCUGUUUCUCUCCCUGCUCUGUGACUUUAGUUUGCCUUUAAAGCCCAUUUUCACCAUUUAUUGAUUUUAGUUUUCUACUUGUCUAUGAAUGACAACUUGAAUUAAGACAACGCAGGCUGAAAAGCCGCUAGGCAGUGCUAAAUGGACAAGCUACACUUCGUGGCAGGAUGUCUCAUGACCGUGCCACCUUCUGCCUAGCCCCAUUCUCUGGAGGAGCUGUGGGCAGACCGACCCCAGCCUGGCCGCCUGGCAUGGGGACUGGUUGCGUCAGAUCGGAGCUCUGAGAUAAGGGUGGGCCAGGGCAUGAUCAUCACCACUGCCAGCCUCGAAGCCUCUUUGCUGACCUGGAGGUGAUCUGUGUAUCAAAGGGGGCUGUGUAUUCAACAGCACUUCCAGAAGAGGCCAAAGAUCUGUCUCUACUUCAGCCUCCACUGGGCAGAAAACUAAGCCUAUUUGCUCUAGGCCCUUCAGACUUGCACUUGGAGAAAGAAAACUCACUAAGUCAGCCCUUAUGUAACUCCACUCUCCUCUCUUCCAAACCUCCUUGCUUUGGACAAAUAUUUGACAGAAAAUGCCCUUUUGCAACGCCUUAAAAGUUACAAAAAUGGUGCACCCUAUCCUUUAAUCUGUACUGUAAAUAAAAAAUAUUAACA
rnacentral:lncRNA from 1 species